GAUGAACGCUAGCGGCAGGCCUAAUACAUGCAAGUCGAACGAUACCAGAGAGCUUGCUUUCUGGGAAAGUGGCGCACGGGUGCGUAACGCGUAUGCGACCUACCUUAAUCAGGGGGAUAGCCUCUCGAAAGAGAGAUUAACACCGCAUAACAUCAUUUUACGGCAUCGUAGAAUGAUCAAAUAUUUAUAGGAUUAAGAUGGGCAUGCGUGACAUUAGCUAGUUGGUGAGGUAACGGCUCACCAAGGCUACGAUGUCUAGGGGAGCUGAGAGGAUGACCCCCCACACUGGGACUGAGACACGGAACAGACUCCUACAGGAGGCAGCAGUAAGGAAUAUUUGUCAAUGGAGGCAACUCUGAACCAGCCAUGCCGCGUGCAGGAAGACGGCCCUAUGGGUUGUAAACUGCUUUUAUACGGGAAUAAACCUCUCUACGUGUAGGGAGUUGAAUGUACUGUAAGAAUAAGGAUCGGCUAACUCCGUGCCAGCCGCCGCAGUAA
rnacentral:rRNA from 1 species